UACGUAGGGGGCAAGCGUUAUCCGGAUUUACUGGGUGUAAAGGGAGCGUAGACGGCAUGGCAAGUCAGAUGUGAAAGCCCGGGGCUCAACCCCGGGACUGCAUUUGAAACUGUCAGGCUGGAGUGCAGGAGAGGUAAGCGGAAUUCCUAGUGUAGCGGUGAAAUGUGUAGAUAUUAGGAGGAACACCAGUGGCGAAGGCGGCUUACUGGACUGUAACUGACGUUGAGGCUCGAAAGCGUGGGGAGCAAACAGG
rnacentral:rRNA from 1 species